UACGAAUGGAGCGAGCGUUGUUCGGAAUCACUGGGCGUAAAGCGUGCGCAGGCGGUUUUGAAAGUUAGAAGUGAAAGCCCAGGGCUUAACCUUGGAAUUGCUUUUAAAACUUCAAGACUAGAGUACUGGAGAGGUUAGCGGAAUUCCGAGUGUAGAGGUGAAAUUCGCAGAUAUUCGGAGGAACACCAAUGGCGUAGGCAGCUAACUGGACAGUAACUGACGCUCAUGCACGAAAGCGUGGGGAUCAAACAGG
rnacentral:rRNA from 1 species